AAAGCUGCCCAGAGACAACAAAUUGUUAUGACACUCUUCUUGUGCCUUUUUGGAUGAAGAGAGAGAUGUUCAGACACAAACAAAGGAAUGGCUUUCCAUCUGCGUUGUAAAUCAACUUGUGUGGGAACUGCUGAGUCAUGGCCUGAACUACCGAUUGAGCACCUGGAGGAAAGACCCAGUCAGCCCUGGGAGCACAGCACGAGGCUUAAGCAAAAGUUGAACUCUACUGCGCAAGGAUAAACUUCUUGAAAGGAAGAUACUUAGCAGGGUGCAACUGCAAAAUCUUCCUAGAACGACCUCUUUGAUCAGCUGAACGCAUCACGAUCCACUACAUCACACAGAGAAAAAUCUUCUUUCUCUCUCCGUGAAUGUAGACACGAAUUCUCUCUAGUUUCUCCACGGGGUGAUAACAGCAAGGCUCCUUCCCUCUGGAAACAUAUACAAUUUUGCUGGAGUAAUAAAAACACCAAAGAGGAGAACUAGCAGCAGACCCAGGACUGACUUUGAUUUUAUUUUCUUACCUCUGUGGAAAGUGAAGCAUUAAAAUCUUUCAAGAGGCCUGCGUCUGGGUAUCCUGCUGCUGCCUUCAGCCCCAUCUCCUGAGGAGUAGGAGUGGUGGUUUUGCAGCCUUUUCAAGUUGUUCAGAAUUGGUUUCCAGUGUGCAAAUGUUAUCUAGAAGCAUUAAGACCGCUCUGAGUAAGAAACAGCUUUGCAUCAACAUGAGACACAGCUCAUCUUCUCUUUUACAUGAGGAUGUAACUAGCUCUGUUUUACCUGACGUAAAUGUAAAUUGAUUUUCCUCCUCCUUCCCAUGAUGAAUUCUCUUCCUCAAGCUGUGCUACUGAAUGGUCAGAAAAAGCAGACAGAAUGUGCCAGGAGCUUGAAGAAGAAGCAAAAGCAAGUUGCAAAGUAUGAAAAGAAUGGUUCCCGUAUUUAGGGGACAGAAAAAAAAUGCUGUAGGGUGGAUGGGUGCAAUGCAUAUCUGUAACCAGUUUCUAAAACACAGAGUCUCUUUACUGGAAAUGUUAGAGGAAAAUAACUGCUGUUCCUGGGAAAUCAAACCAAACCCAUGUCAAAGCAGGUGUUCUGAAGCAUGUAGUUGAGCCACUUAGGACAGCAAGGGCGUAGCGCAGGAGGCUGCUCUUAGUCUGUAAGCUGUGUGUUUCUCUAGAGGAAUAUUCCACUGUUCCAUACCAGCUAGUAUUUUCCUGCGCUGGUUUCUGCAUGCAGCCUUCUGUUGUUUCAUUGCAAUAUUCUGUUAAAAACAGUUGGGCUCGUAAUCCUUCCUCAUGGGAAUAUUGUUAUCCACUUGGUGUAUUCCUCUGGAAAGUGGGAAAGAAAUGCAGAAUCUGGAUGGCUGUCUUUGGCCAGAUUGCCUUCAGAGCUCAUUUGGGAUAUCGCUGGGAAUAUUUCCAGAGGAAACCAGUAUUCUGCAGUGUUCCAUAGGUACUCUCUAUUGUUUUAUCUCCUCAGCACAGUGUGGCUUUGUGUUCUCUGGAACAAUACUGGAAAUUAAAGCUACCUCAGUUAUCUAUUUCGAAAAGUCUUCUCUUCAAGCAAAGUGGCUUGUCCAUCUUCAUGAUUGCAGCAGGAAAUAUUUCUGCAGCUCACAUUCACCAUAUCAGCUGCCAGGGUUCAACAGUCCCUGACUUUUUGAUGUCAUAAAGGAGCAGUUUAUAAACGGAUUGUGCUAUUAUUUUGUCUUUCACGUUUACAGCAGUUCAACGACAAUGAUAAACCCUGUCCAGAUAAACACAGUUUGACAAUAGCUACGAGACUGGAAGUAUAAGUAUAAAAAUAUAUAGAAAAGUAACAGUAUGUUCACUUUUCAACCAAUAAACAAAUAAAUAUAGCCAAAGAAGCUCUCAGAAAUAUCUGGAAGAAAAAGAGAGAACAGAAAUCAGGAUGGAUGGUUUAUUUAUAACAAUGGCCACAGGAACAGGACAUAUGGAAAAAUCAGAACCCAAGAAGGAGAAAAGGGGCCAUGAUGGUAAAAGCCAGACUCUUCAGAUAGCAAGUGUAUAUGUGACUGAGAGCCUGGCAGCAAGUGGAUCUCAACAAAAUACUGGUUCUGUGUGGGAAGCAUUGGAGACAGCCAUGGAUGGACACUUGGAUGCAAAACUGUGUUGGGGAACUGUUUGCCAGUACCAUUCUACUCCAAAAAGUAACUUUGUGAAAGAAAUUUCAAAGCAGCACCUUGUUUCUGAUUGAUCCACAGAAACCAUAUAACAGACAGGGAAAAGCUGUUGUCUCUGUGGUGCUCAGGCAGACUUGUGGCAUUAGUGCUUUGUUGUGGCUGCAUAAUUUUAGCACAGUCUUUAAGAAAAUGUUCUUUAACCUGCCCUUAGUGCAGUUAACAACUGGCCUUUCUUUGUGGAUCUGGUAAGCAAUGCUGGCAUACAUCCAGGGCCUUUCUCUGAGGACUGCAUGCUUCCUAGAGCUAACAGCUAAAGUUAGUAAUACCAAUUUUGUCAUUCAGUGUUAACAGAAAUGAUACAGAGUACAUUCAGAAAAGGAUCUAUUGUAUAAGAUAAAGCCUUUCUUAUAGUCACUCUGGAGAAUAACCCCAUAUGAGAACAGUUCCGUAUUUUAAAUCGCUAAAGAUAGCUUCUUGCUAGGGAAUGUGAGAUACUGAUAACAUAUUAUAUUCCUCUCUUGCUGCUUUUUUCUCUUGUGUUGAUUAGUCCUAUACCAUAGGCAUGAUAGACCAUGGGGCUCACCCUACAUUCCUCUGAGCGUUUUGAAGAAAUGAUUACAUUUGUCAAAUGACAAAAAAGAAUCACCUUAGACAGUCAGGUGAGACACAUCAAAAGUAACUUGAAAACCUGCAGUCCCAGGUCAGCUGUUACUUGAAGACUAUCCAGCUUCCUUUUGCGUCAUUUCUGAUUUGUCUUUGUACAAGCUUCUGUUGAGAUCAGUCUAUAUUGGAGAACUAAACGCUGGGGUUUCUGGGUUUUUUUUUGGGGGGGGGAGGGGGGGGCUCCUUUCCUUCCUUAUCCCCUGGGGAGAAUAGAUUUGUAAAAAAAAAAAAAUGAUUAAAGGGAUUGGGUACUUGUUCCAUGGCAGCUAAGGGGUUUGCCUUGCCUAAUUAAAGAUUCUUUGUUUGAAACUCCAUUGUAAGUAGCCAUAAAAAUAAAACAACAAAAGUUUCAGAAUUGGUCUGUUUUUGAAAUAAAAUAUUC